rnacentral:rRNA from 1 species
AGAGUUGAUUCUGGCUCAGGAUGAACGCUAGCUACAGGCUUAACACAUGCAAGUCGAGAGGCAUCAUGACGAUAGCUUGCUAUUGUGAUGGCGACCGGCGCACGGGUGAGUAACGCGUAUCCAACCUUCCCCUUAGUAGAGGAUAGCCGGCGAAAGUCGGAUUAAUACUCUAUGUUGUUCGAUGCGGACAUCUAAGUUGAACCAAAGGUUUACCGCUAAGGGAUGGGGAUGCGUCUGAUUAGGUAGUAGGGCGGGGUAACGGCCCACCUAGCCUACGAUCAGUAGGGUUCUGAGAGGAAGGUCCCCCACAUUGGAACUGAGACACGGUCCAAACUCCUACGGGAGGCAGCAGUGAGGAAUAUUGGUCAAUGGCCGAGAGGCUGAACCAGCCAAGUAGCGUGCAAGGAUGACGGCCCUAUGGGUUGUAAACUGCUUUUGUAUGGGGAUAAAGUUCACUACGUGUAGUGAUUUGCAGGUACCAUAUGAAUAAGGACCGGCUAAUUCCGUGCCAGCCGCAGC